UUUGUAUAAAGGACAGACACAGGUUACAUAUAUUUUACUUCUGGUGAAUAUAAUCCAUUACUAGUUUUCAUAUGUACGUUGUAUUAACAUCUUAUUUUGAAAACCGGAAGUAGUCCAAUGUGCAUCAUCUCGCCAACUUCGCUACUCGAUCUGGGCCGUUUGAAUGCAUUUACCACGCGUGCCGGAAUAAGAGCGCAUUACAAGUUUAGUGUCGGCUGAUUUGACCACGGAGAUCCGAGUGUCGGCUGGCUUGACCGCAGUUCUGUUUUUGCCUGCUAACCUGUAUGCUGUUCUUUGUGUUUCGAAGGAGAACCACUGCUCUACAGUCUCUCAACCUACCUGCUGACGCCACUCUCCACCUGCCGUCACCAGUCCUGCAUGCUUCGUCUCCCUGCCUGUGUCCACAACCUGCUUUGUCGCCUGAGAGGUUUUUCUCACCAGUCCAUUCAGCUACCUUGUCUAAAUCAUUAAUAAACUGAGUUAAACUUCGAACCGUCUGCAGUCUGCUUCUGGGUUCAAAUCGCAAAUGACAGUACUAUCCGGCCAGUAUGAACCCAGCAGACUUAAGUGCAGUUCAGGAGGAAUUGUCCAAUCAGGGCUCUGUCCUGGGCCAGCAUGGAAAUAUUCCCCAGGGAGUUAUGGAGGAACUCAAGGCGCUUUCCACCUGUGUCACCUCCCUGCAGGCUCAGCUUAACACCGCUCUCCUAGCCUCCACUGCUCUGCCCGGAGCUGAAUCAACUGUGAGUCAACCAGUUGUUGCUAGUUUGGACCGGGAACCUAUGGUUCCUACCCCCGUAAGGUAUGAUGGUGAUUUUGGAUUUUGUCAGCCUUUUUUGCUACAGUGCAAUCUGGUUUUUGAGCUACAGCCCCGUUCCUAUUCUACUGAUCGAGCCAGGAUUGCUUACGUCAUCGGGUUGCUAAAGGGAGACGCUCUUAAAUGGGCUUCAGCAGUUUGGGAUAAGCAAGCCUCGUCAGCCUCUACCUACGUUUCUUUUGUAAUGAACUCAGGAAAGUUUUUGAUCAUCCUGUCAACGGAAAAGACGCUUCUACAAGCCUGCUUUCUCUCCGUCAGGGGCUGCGCAGCGUCGCGGAUUAUUCCAUUGAGUUUUGCGCACUGGCAGUGGAGAGUGGCUGGAACGCGGUGUCUUUGCAGGCUGUUUUCAUCAAAGGACUAAGUGAGUCACUCAAAGAUGAAUUGGUUUCGUACACUGAGCCUGUUUCACUGGAUCAACUAAUAGCCUUAGCUAUUCAUAUAGACAAUCGACUGCAAGAACGGAAGAGGGAGAGACGUCAACUUCAGCCUAGACUGCCAAUGGAGGUGGUCACUACCACGAGAAGCCGAGAGAGGGUGCCAGAGGUUGAACCUAUGCAACUGGGACGUCACCAGUUGGACCCUGAGGAAUUACAGCGUCGGAUCUCUAAUCAGUGCUGCCUAUAUUGUGGAGCGUCUGGUCACCGCCUCGCAGCUUGCCCCUGCCGUCCGUUAAACAGGAGGACUCGCUAGAUGGGAGGAGUAUGCUAGUGAGUCCAACUUCAACACCCCACCCAAGACAGUUUGGUGUCUGCAACCCGGUGGAUGGUCUAUAUGGAGGAGAAGGUGUUAUGAGGCUGAGCAGCUGCAUGACUUCCAGCGCCCUUGCUGUCUUUUUCGCAGCCUGGAGUAUCAGGAGUCUGCAUCCAUCACGCUGGAGAUAAUACAGAGCUUAGCUACAACAAGAUCAGCAUCAACCAUGAAUGAAGUAAAUUCCUUAAUACGGCGGACAACACAAUCUUACUAGGACUGUAAAAAAAACGUUGAUAAACUUGUGUUUUGUUGAACACUGCUUAAGUGUGGCUCAUUUACAGUGAUUGACACAUUGGGCAGGUGCAUUUACUGUAAAGACUUUUUCUAAGUACUGUUAAUGCUUUCUUACAAUACAGCCUUUGUGGCCGGUGUUGCUGGUUUGUGGCUAUUUGGCAUUUAAAUGAUGCACAUGUUGGUGUAUUGUAUAUGUAUUAUAUAAAAUGUGUAGUGCCCACAUUUCGUGGUUCUCUUGUUGUAGAGUUUAACAGUUUUAAGAAAACAUUUCCCAAGAGUUAUGUGAUUUUUAUGCUACAAUCUGCCAGGACGGAGGCAGAUGUAGAUGUUUGUUGUACAAUAUUUUUUGUUUCCUGUAGUAUUUUCUAUUUGUCUAUGGUUUUGUAUAGUGUCCAAUAUUUCUUAGGCCACUGAGUUGUGUCAUCACUUGAGAAUUGAGAAUAAUUACAUUUAUUUUUUGUAAA